rfam:Oryza meridionalis cultivar OR44 (W2112) chromosome 1, whole genome shotgun sequence.
AACCACACUAUCAAUAAAUGGAUUCACCCGUGAUACGACGUGGUUGUUCCACUUAGGAUGAGGACGCGGCAUCUUAUUACCCGCCGUCGCACGAAAUUAAUAAGAUGUCACAUCCUCAUUUUAGGUAAAACAACCACGUCAUCUCAUAAAAGAAUCCAUUCAUUGAUAGUGUGGUU